ensembl:piRNA 21ur-8116 ncRNA
UUUGCAUACCUCUAAUAACCA